AUGCCUCCCAUGCCCUCCUCCCCACCCUUCCUCAUCCCUGCUCCCCACCCCAGGGCCAGGCCCUCACCAGCGGGUGCAGUUCCGGGUGAGCACAGUCCCUGGGGGCAGCUCCUGGGCCUGCUCUUCCAGGGUCAGGGUGAGGCCCCAGGGCAGAGAAUGCUGGGUGCAGGGGCAGGCAGUGGGAGGCAUGCACGUGCCAUUGUGCAGCAGCUGCAGCGAGGCAGGUUCAGUGACACUCAGACCACCGCCUCUUCCCUCCCCACCUGCCGGCUUCCCCCACAGGGAGUCAGGACACAGCACCCAAUACCCACCUGCCCUCCAGGGCAGCCACAGCCAGGCUGGCAGGGCUCCUGCACACAGAUGGCACCAGGCUGCAGAUGCCAGCAGAGGCGCGGGCAUGAGGUGGCACAGGCGCUAAGCACCUGGCCAGGGGGGCACUCUGUGGGGUGCACACAGAUAGGAAGAUGGGAGGGACCCAGCAACUCCAGUCCCAGGGAGGGGGCUGCCCUGAGUCCGACCUCCUCUCCCCACACCUACCCCCCACGGCUGGGGCAGGGCCUGGGCUCAGCAGCAAUGGAGGGGUCAGUCACCUGCCGCCCAGGGCACUCACCAGGGCAGGGCUGCAGGUUACACUCCUGCCGUUGCUCCGUGUCCUGGGCCUGGCAUGGUGCCAUCCCAGGACCUCCCUCGCAGCUCCGAUGUCGCUCCAUAGUGCCCCCACCACAGGGGGCCGAGCAACUGCUCCAGGCUGACCAAGGCCCAAGGACUGGACACCCCUGGUGUGGGCACACCAGGGACCCGUUGACACAGGUGCUGUGGACAGGGGUAAGCACAAAGGGCUCCAGUCAGGGUGAACAGAACCCUUGCUCCCCAGCAAUGCCAACGAAGGCUGACCUGCCCCGUGCCUCCACCCAAAGCUCCCUUAGCCCUGGCGGGGCUGCAGCCAUACCAGUUUUGGCAGUCCAGCUGCACCACCUGGGCCGGGGCCAGCUCCCAAGAGGCAUUGGCACUAGGGAGGCCACAGCGGCAAGAGGAGAUCGGCACACAGUGCCCAUCCUGAACCAGCUGGCCAGGGGGACAGCGGCAGCCUAG
ensembl:lncRNA